UAUCAGACGCCAAGGGCCGUGACAAAAUGGUGGUAUUUGAUGAGUUGGGGGAACGGUCUGUGAGCAAGCCAACUGUC